rnacentral:rRNA from 1 species
AUUGAACGCUGGCGGCAGGCCUAACACAUGCAAGUCGAACGGUAACAGGAAGCAGCUUGCUGCUUUGCUGACGAGUGGCGGACGGGUGAGUAAUGUCUGGGAAACUGCCCGAUGGAGGGGGAUAACUACUGGAAACGGUAGCUAAUACCGCAUAACGUCGCAAGACCAAAGAGGGGGACCUUAGGGCCUCUUGCCAUCGGAUGUGCCCAGAUGGGAUUAGCUAGUAGGUGGGGUAACGGCUCACCUAGGCGACGAUCCCUAGCUGGUCUGAGAGGAGGACCAGCCACACUGGAACUAGGACACGGUCCAGACUCCUACGGGAGGCAGCAGUGGGGAAUAUUGCACAAUGGGUACAAGCCUGAUGCAGCCAUGCCGCGUGUAUGAAGAAGGCCUUCGGGUUGUAAAGUACUUUCAGCGGGGAGGAAGGGAGUAAAGUUAAUACCUUUGCUCAUUGACGUUACCCGCAGAAGAAGCACCGGCUAACUCCGUG